GUGGUGUGUGAGGUCUGUGUGUGGUGUCAAUGUGAGGUCUGUGUCUGGUGUGUGUGUGAGGUCUGUGUGUGUGAAUGUGGGGUCUGUGUGUGUGGGGUAUAUGUGUGUGAUGUGUGUGUGUAGUGUGUGAGGUCUGUGUAUGGUGUGUGUGAGGUCUGUGUGUGGUGUCAAUGUGAGGUCUGUGUCUGGUGUGUGUGUGAGGUCUGUGUGUGUGAAUGUGGGGUCUGUGUGUGUGUGGUAUAUGUGUGUGAUGUGUGUGUGUAGUGUGUGAGGUCUGUGUAUGGUGUGUGUGAGGUCUGUGUGUGUGUGGUGUGUGAGGUCUGUGUGUGGUGUCAAUGUGAGGUCUGUGUCUGGUGUGUGUGUGAGGUCUGUGUGUGUGAAUGUGGGGUCUGUGUGUGUGUGGUAUAUGUGUGUGAUGUGUGUGUGUAGUGUGUGAGGUCUGUGUAUGGUGUGUGUGAGGUCUGUGUGUGUGUGGUGUGUGAGGUCUGUGUGCAGUGUGUGUGUGAGGUCUGUGUGUGUGUGUAUUGUGUGAGGUCUGUGUGUGUGUGGUGUGUGUAAGGUUUGUGUGUAUGUGAUGUGUGAGGUCUGUGUGUGUGUGGUGUGUGUGAGGUCUGUGUGUGUGGUGUGUGCAGUGUGAGUGUAUGUCUGUGUGGUGGCAUCUGUGUGUGUGUGGUGUGUGGGGUCUGUGUGUGUGUGAGGUCUGUGUGUGGUGUGUGUGUUAGGUCUGUGUGUGUGGUGUGUGAGGUCUAUGUGUGUGUGUGGUGUGUGUGAGGUCUGUGUGUGGUGUUUGUGUGAGGUCUGUGUGUGUGUGGUGUGUGAGGUCUGUAUGUGUGUGUGUGGUGUGUCUGAGGUCUGUGUGUGGUGUGUGUGUGAGGUCUGUGUGUGUGUGGUGUGUGCAGUGUGAGUGUAUGUCUGUGCGGUGGCAUCUGUGUGUGUGGUGUGUGAGGUCUGUGUGUAGUGUCAAUGUGAGGUCUGUGUGUGGUGUCUGUGUGAGGUCUGUGUGUGUGGUGUGUGAGGUCUGUGUGUGUGAGGUCUGUGUGUGAGGUCUCUGUGUGUGUGGUCUCUGUGUGGUGUGUGUGUGAGGUCUGUGUGUGUGGUGUGUGAGGUCUGUAUGUGUGUAUGUGGUGUGUCUGAGGUCUGUGUGUGGUGUGUGUGAGGUCUGUGUGAGGUCUGUGUGUGUGGUAUGUGUGAGGUCUGUGGGUGGUGUGAGGUCUGUGUGUGUGGUGUGUGUGAGGUCUGUGUGUGGUGUGUGAGGUCUGUGUGUGUGAGAUCUGUAUGUGUGAGGUCUGUGUGUGUGGUGUGUGGUGUGUGUGUGUGGUGUGAGAUCUGUGUGUGUGUGAGGUUUGUGUGUGUGGUGUGUGUGAGGUCUGUGUGUGGUGUGUGAGGUUUGUGUGUGUGUGGUGUGUGUGAGGUCUGUGUGUGGUGUGUGAGGUCUGUGUGUGUGUGUGAGAUCUGUAUGUGUGAGGUCUGUGUCUGUGUGUGGUGUGUGAGGUUUGUGUGUGUGUGUGGUGUGAGAUCUGUAUGUGUGAGGUCUGUGUCUGUGUGUGGUGUGUGAGGUUUGUCUGUGUGUGUGUGGUGUGAGAUCUGUGUGUGUGUGAGGUCUGUGUGUGUGUGGUCUGUGUGUGGUGUGUGUGUGAGGUCUGUAUGUGUGUGAGGUCUGUGUGUGGUGUGUGAGAUCUGUAUGUGUGAGGUCUGUGUCUGUGUGUCGUGUGUGAGGUCUGUGUGUGGUGUGAGAGCUGUGUGUGUGUGAGGUCUGUGUGUGGUGUGUGAGGUUUGUAUGUGUGUGGUGUGUGUGAGGUCUGUGUGUGGUGUGUGAAGUUUGUGUGUGUGUGUGGUAUGUGUGAGGUCUGUGUGUGGUGUGUGAGGUUUGUGUGUGUGUGUGGUGUGAGAUCUGUGUAUGUGUGAGGUCUGUGUGUGCUGUGUGAGGUUUGUGUGUGUGUGGUGUGUGAGGUCUGUGUGUGUGUGGUGUGUGCAGUGUGAGUGCGUGUAUGUGUGUGGUGACAUCUGUGUGUGUGUGGUGUGUGAGGUCCGUGUGUGUGUGGUGUGUGUGAGGUCUGUGUGUGGUAUGUGAGGUUUGUGUGUGGUGUGAGAUCUGUGUGUAUGAGGUCUGUGUGGUGUGUGAGGUUUGUGUGUGAGGUCUGCGUGUGUGCUGUGUGCAGUGUGAGUGCGUGUAUGUCUGUGUGGUGGCGUCUGUGUGUGUGUGGUGUGUGAGGUCCGUGUGUGUGUGGUGUGAGGUCUGUGUGUGUGGCGUGUGUGAGUGGGUGUAUGUGUGUGUCUGUGUGGGUGUUGUAUGUGUGUGUCGUGUGUGUUUGGGGGCUGAGGUCCCAUGUAGACAGAAGUCAGUGCCAAAGCCACAAACUCCUCCCGACCCCCCGCCUGCCAUUUGAACACUUGUCCCGACAUGCCCUGUCCUGGGGCGCCAGGACCCACUCACUCAUUUACUCCUUGCUGGGGCUGCCUUGGCUCCCCGAGAGGUGGGCGGGAGGCGAGCAUGAGGAGAGA
rnacentral:lncRNA from 10 species